rnacentral:rRNA from 1 species
GACGAAGGAUGCAAGCGUUAUCCGGAUUCAUUGGGUUUAAAGGGUGCGUAGGUGGUCUUAUAAGUCAGUUGUGAAAUCUUCUCGCUUAACGGGAAAACUGCCAUUGAUACUGUAGGACUUGAGUAUAGUUGCUGUGGGCGGAAUAUGACAUGUAGUGGUGAAAUACUUAGAGAUGUCAUAGAACACCGAUUGCGAAGGCAGCUCGCAAAGCUAUAACUGACACUGAGGCUCGAAAGUGCGGGGAUCAAACAGG